rnacentral:rRNA from 1 species
UUGAAAGGGAAACGAUUGAAGUCAGUCAUACCAACGGGAAGUCAACCUUUUGAGCUUGGUCUCGUGGGUUUUGAAGAGUUUCAAAGCCUUCGGAUUCGCGGGAUUGGGAUCUCUUGGUGUACUUUUUCGUACGGUUAGUCAACAUCGGUUUUGAAUGUCAUAAAAUGACUGGAGGAAUGUAGCUUCGAUCUCGUAUUGAAGUGUUAUAGCCUUUGGUAGAUGUGAUGUUUGAGACCGAGGAUUGCAACGGAUACCCUUCAGGGCUAUUCGUCUGAUCUCUGAUACGUUGCCUUGAUGUUGAAAGCUUGCUUAUGAUGUUAGGGUAUUACGGUCAAAAGGUUAGAACCGAAUCACCNNGCUUAAGGAUGUUGACGUA